CCUCCCCAACACCAGGUGGGAGACUUAUUUAACAAAGGAAAUCACUUGCAUUUGACCUGUUGUUGUUGUUUUUAAAAGGCCUUUCUCGGGUAUGUGUGUUUGUAUGUGCCUUCAGGUCACCUGUUGACUUAUGAGAACCCCAUGAAUUUCAGAGGGUUUUCUUAGGCAAGGAAUACUCAGGUGGUUUUGACAGUUCCUUCCUCUGAAACAGAGUCUACUUCCCUGGUUUCAAAAAAAGCACCUUCUGGGACUAAAAAUGGCCUGGGAAGAUGGGCCAUGACAAAAUUGUCUGCCACACUGCUGAGAAUAAAUGGUGGGGAUCAUGCAUAUCUGUUGUAUGUUGCCUUGUGGGCUCCAGCAGGCUGAGAGAUGACAUACAAAUGCUUCAAAUCCAUCCAGUCAUGCAGUCCUCGACGUUCUUGGGCUCCAGUACAGGCAUUCCUGUUAUAGUCAUCCCUCCACGUUUGCAGAUUUGAUUAUUUGAAGAUUACUGUAUUUGCCCCUGGCACCAAAAAAAACAAUCCCUCUAGGCAUUUGUAGGUCCUCCAAUGUGAUUCUUUGGUCAGCAUCCAUCAGAAUGUGACUUUGCUUUCCUCUUAAUUCCCCAUUAUUACUGUACCUUCCCUGAUCGCUGGGGCUUCGCUCUCUAAAAGUCUUGCCUUUGUUUCCUGGAAGUUGUGCAACUCUUUAACACAUUCUCCUGCCUCACUUUCAGGCCUACAUUGAGAAAUACAAGUUCAGAAGUGUUGUGGCCCAAGAUCUCUUGGAUUCCUUCCUGGAUUUCUUCCCAGAAUUGAAAGAAAAAUGCAUUGAUAACAAAACAGGACUCGAGUUCGAACACUGGCUCAAUGAGACGGGCCCUCCUUUAAUUGAGCCAGACUUAUCUCAGGGAUCCAGUCUGACCAGCCCUGUGGAGAUGCUCUUUGACCUCUGGACCACGGAGCCCCUUCAUGCGGUGGCUGCUGCCAACAGUGUCAACAUGGCAGAGUGGCAAACCUUCCAGACAGUGCUCUUCCUGGACAGGCUGUUGGAUGGGUCACCGCUGCCUCAAGUUUAUCCUGAAAUGUAGGCCUGUGAAGUGAAGACAAGUCCUUCAGGGUCUCCAUGUGUUUGUUACAUAUUUGGGCACACACUAUUCUGCUUCUCCAAACAUCUGUGGAAGUUGUGCUAGUUGCCUUUAUAGUAAAAGAGUUAUUCUGGACAGUAUUAGCCAUUGAGGAGGGGAAGAACAAGGUUGUUAAUUCCUAUGGCUCUUGUCUUGUCCAGGAUUGCAGAGAUGAAGCAGUUCAGGCUGAGGUCCACCAUUAAAAUAAGGCCUUUCCAACCAGAUGCAAGUGGAGCUACUUGCUCUUAACCUGUUUCUCUCUGUCCUCUACUUUUUGACUAUUUAUUAUUUUUUGGGGGGAUAAAGCAAUGAUGAACCUGGGCCUCAGAAAGAUAUUUUGUGGGUGAUGAAAUACUUUGAAAUGUCAGGAUGCUCUUUUCUUUUUUCCUUAAAGAUUUACUUGAUUUAAAUAGUGGGCAAUCUGGUGAGGGACUGUCCCCCUUCCCUCCCCCAAAAAACCGACCCACACAGUUACAAAUUCCAUCUGUAACAUGGCAAAGAAUUGGCCAUCUUUGGCACGCAGCCGACCGGAUUCCCAGGUCCAUCCCUUAGUCUUCCCCUUCUGCUGCCUUAGGCCUCCGUUUUAUUCUGUUUUAGUUCUUUCUGGUGGAAAAUUCCUUUUAAAUGCAUAUUGAUGCCUUACAAUAACAUCACUGAUGAAAUGUCAAAUUAAACUAAACUUUGGGACUUUCA